rnacentral:tRNA from 2 species
CGGGAUGUAGCGCAGUUGGUAGCGCACUUCGUUCGGGACGAAGGAGUCGCUGGUUCGAGUCCAGUCAUCCCGA